UACGAAGGACCCAAGCGUUAUCCGGAUUUAUUGGGUUUAAAGGGUGCGUAGGCGGGUUGUUAAGUCAGUGGUGAAAGCUCCGAGCCUAACCCGGAAACUGCCAUUGAUACUGACGAUCUUGAGUACAUUUGAGGUGGGCGGAAUGUGUCAUGUAGCGGUGAAAUGCUUAGAUAUGACACAGAACACCGAUUGCGAAGGCAGCUCACUAAACUGUAACUGACGCUGAGGCACGAAAGCGUGGGGAGCAAACAGG
rnacentral:rRNA from 1 species